UUAGAGUUUGAAUUCCUGGCUCAGGACGAACGCUGGCGGCGUGCCUAAUACAUGCAAGUCGAGCGAACCAAUAAGAAGCUUGCUUUUUGUUGGUUAGCGGCGGACGGGUGAGUAACACGUGGGUAACCUGCCUGUAAGACCGGGAUAACUCCGGGAAACCGGUGCUAAUACCGGAUAGAUUAUCUUUCCGCCUGGAGAGAUAAGGAAAGAUGGCUUUUGCCAUCACUUACAGAUGGGCCCGCGGCGCAUUAGCUAGUUGGUGAGGUAACGGCUCACCAAGGCGACGAUGCGUAGCCGACCUGAGAGGGUGAUCGGCCACACUGGGACUGAGACACGGCCCAGACUCCUACGGGGAGGCAGCACUGAGCCAGGAAUCAAACUCUUAA
rnacentral:rRNA from 1 species